rnacentral:rRNA from 1 species
CGAUAACGCUGGCGGCGUGCUUACACCUGCAGUUAACGAACUUCGGGUUAGUGGCGGACGGGUGAGUAACGCGUGAGAAUCUGCCCUCAGGAGGGGGAUGACCGGCUGGAAACGGCCGCUAAUACCCCAUAUGCCGCGAGGUGAAAUGAAUUUCGCCUGAGCGAUGAGCUCGCGUCUGAUUAGCUACGUUUGGUGGGGUAAGAGCCUACCAAGGCAUCGAUCAGUAGCUGGUCUGAGAGGAUGAUCAGCCACACUGGGACUGAGACACGGCCCAGACUCCUACGGGAGGCAGCACGUGGGGAAUUUUCCGCAAUGGGCGAAAGCCUGACGGAGCAACGCCGCGUGAGGGAUGAAGGCCUCUGGGCUGUAAACCUCUUUUAUCAAGGAAGAAGAUCUGACAGGUACUUGAUGAAUUAGCCACGGCUAAUCCCGUGCCAGACAGCCGCGGUAAUACGGGAGUGGCAAGCGUUAUCCGGAAUUAUUGGGCGUAAAGCGUCCGCAGGCGGCUCUUGUAAGUCUGUAGUCUAAAGCGUGGAGCUUAACUACCAUUAUGAGCAAUGGAAACUGCAAGGACUACAAGUGUGCGAUAAGCGGGCAGAGAGGCAAUUACCCCGGCUGUAAGCGGUGAAAUUGCGUAGCAUCAUCGGGAAAGAAACACCACGAUGGCCGAAAGAGCCGACUCCUGCUUGCGGCCAAUCAA